rnacentral:lncRNA from 1 species
AUGCAGACCACCAAGGCCCUGCUCAUUUCUCCAGUUCUGAUCAGCUCCCGUACCAGGGGUCUAACCAGGCCUGUGUCUGCUUCCCUGAGUAGACCAGAGGCCCCAUCUAAACAGCCUGCCUGCAGCAGCUCCUCUCUCUAGGUGGACAGAUGGGAAUUUCAGACCAAUGUCAUUUCCCAGGACAUCAACACAGCAGCCAAAUUUAUUGGUGCUGUGGCUGCCACAGUUGGUGUGGCAGGAUCAGGGGCUGGCAUUGGCACAGUGCUUGAUUAUUGGCUAUGCCAGGAACCAGUCUCUCAAGCAGCAGCUCUUCUCCUAUGCCAUGCUGGGGUUUGCCCUGUCUGAGGCCAUGGGACUCUUCUGUUUGAUGGUCGCCUUCCUCAUCCUCUUCGCCAUGUGA